UAGAAUAAUGUAGGUAGGGGAAGUCGGCAUACUUGAUCCUUAACCUCUGGAAAAGGAUUGGCUCUGAAGGCUGAGUCAAACAGGCCGGGGAAAGAAAGGAACUCGCUCAGCUUACAGCUGGCUGGUAGGCUGGCUGUUGAACCGCCACCACCGCCGCCGCUGUUGCGGUGUGUGGGUGUGUGUGUGGGGCGUGCAGUUGUGCCAGUCCGCUUGCUUUGUGGCUGGAGGUGAGUAGGGUGAACCGUGGGCGGACCCAGCUACACCUACAUCUCGGUAGAUUGAUCAGUAGGUUGGUUGUCGAUGCUGAUGCUGCUGCUUCUUCGCUGCUUGUUGGCUGGUGGUGCAGUGCCCGGCGUUGCUACUCGCUGGCUGGCUGGCCAUGUCGCGUCGGGGCGUGCUUGUUUGAAGCCAAACAGCCAACCCAGAAGUGGCACGAACGUGAGGAAUCCGACUGUCUAAUUAAAACAAAGCAUUGUGAUAUCUGCUGACCGGUUUUGACGCAAUGUGAUUUCUGCCCAGUACUCGCAAUGUCAAAGUGAAGAAAUCCAACCAAGCGCGGAUAAACGGCGGGAGCAACUAUGACUCUCUUAAGGUAGCCAAAUGCCUCGUCAUCUAAUUAGUAAUGCGCAUGAAUGGAUUAACGAGAUUCCUACUGUCCCCAUCUACUAUCUAGCCGAACCACAGCCAAGGAAACGGGAUUGGCAGAAUCAGCGGGGAAAGAAGACCCUGUUGAGCUUGAUUCUAGUCCGACUUAGUGAAGAGACAUGGCGGGUGUAGCAAUAAGUGGGAGGCUCUGUGUCUGCUGCUGGGCACUACAACGAAAGACCACUCCCAUUAUUGUUUCUUUGUUUAUUCAGUGAAGCGGGAUAAGCAGCAAUGUGUAUAAAAAUAUUUGCAUUUGCAUUGAAACACAUGCCGGCGUGUGGACUCGCGCUCACGUGUCAGCAUCUUCGGUAGCAGCUGGCUGGCCAUUGCUGCUGCCGCUGCUGCUGUCCUUGGGCGAGCGGGGGGGAAGCGGGUAGGCGGACAGUGGUGUUAUCAGUCGGAGUGUGUGUGCGACAUGCGACCCGAUCUGGAGACAUUGUCAGGCGGGGAGUUUGACUGGGGCAAUGCAUCCGUCAAAUCGUAACGCAGGUGUCCCGAGGUUAGCUCAGCCAGGACAGAAACCUGGCAUGAAGCAGAGGGGCGAAAGCUCACUUGAUGCUGAUUUCCAGUAUGAAUACACACCGUGAAAGCGUGGCCUAUCGAUCCUUUUGAUGAUUUCACCACAUUCCGAGUUUGAAGCAAGAGGUGUCAGAAAAGUUACCACAGGGAUAACUGGCUUUUGGCGGCCAAGCGUUCAUAGCGACGUCGCUUUUUUAUCCUUCGAUGCCGGCUCUUCCUAUCAUUGUGAAGCAGAAUUCACCAAGCGUUGGAUUGUUCACCCACCAAUAGGGAACGUGAGCUGGGUUUAGACCGUCGUGAGGCAGGUUAGUUUUACCCUACUGAUGGGCACGAGCAAAGUGCAUGCUGGUCGUUGCUAUGGUAAUCCUGUUCAGUACGAGAGGAACCGCAGGUUCAGACAUUUGGUACAUGUGCCUGGUCGAUCGGCCGAUGGUGCGAGGCUAUCAUCUAAGGUAUUAAGACUGAACUCUCUAAGUCUGAAUCCCGUCUAAAGGUGCAACGAUACACUACGGCCUGCCACAUGGUGAGGCAGCUAUAGCAUCUUCCAUUCGCCAGUUUCCUUAGCACGCGGAUAGCGUGCUGCGACGACCGCGGAUGGUCUGGCUGGUAGUGCGAGGCCAGAGCGUGGACCACAUCCACGUGCAUCAGAUGCUCAUGGUGCUGCGUGGGGGUCGAUACGAUAUCCAACUGUGGAAUGAGUGUGCAGGCACUAAAUCGUUUGUAGACGACUCAAUACUUUGUCGGGGAGACGUGAGUACUGGAGCAGCUAUCACACUGCGAGGUAUUGAGUCCUAUCCCUACUUGACUUUAUGAUUC
rfam:Echinococcus multilocularis genomic scaffold, pathogen_EmW_scaffold_05